GACGAACGCUGGCGGCGUGCUUAACACAUGCAAGUCGAACGGAAAGGCCCUGCUUUUGUGGGGUGCUCGAGUGGCGAACGGGUGAGUAACACGUGAGUAACCUGCCCUUGACUUUGGGAUAACUUCAGGAAACUGGGCCUAAUACCGGAUAGGAGCUCCUGCUGCAUGGUGGGGGUUGGAAAGUUUCGGCGGUUGGGGAUGGACUCGCGGCUUAUCAGCUUGUUGGUGGGGUAGUGGCUUACCAAGGCUUUGACGGGUAGCCGGCCUGAGAGGGUGACCGGCCACAUUGGGACUGAGAUACGGCCCAGACUCCUACGGGAGGCAGCAGUGGGGAAUAUUGCACAAUGGGCGGAAGCCUGAUGCAGCAACGCCGCGUGCGGGAUGACGGCCUUCGGGUUGUAAACCGCUUUCGCCUGUGACGAAGCGUGAGUGACGGUAAUGGGUAAAGAAGCACCGGCUAACUACGUG
rnacentral:rRNA from 1 species